GUUACAAGUCCGACUGCUGCUUAUACCGUUGUCCUCAACGUUUUUGACAAGGCCGGGAACAGCUUAACACUGAGGAGAGAUGUUGAUUUGGACAGUCCCAAGGUAGCCGCCAUUCUUGGUACUCAACCUCAGGAGUCAGAGGAGGAGGAUAAGCGUGGAUUAGCUGCAUUGCCCAUUUUCUUCAUCGUGUUUGCGGCGAUAUUUAUCAUUGUGCUUGUGGUGGCAGUAAUACGGCGUCGCCAAGGGCACCCCUGGUUGUGGAAGGACGAGAGACUUAGAUUCUGGCGAAGAAACACGGAAUCGAGAGACCGCCAACAUAUUAACUUCAACGACUAUAAUGUUGAUGAGACAGAUGACCCAGGCAUAUAUUAUGAUAAUUCGGCAUAUGGUCAGAACGUUGACAUCCCCAGCAGUGACGUGACCAUUGGCAGUGUCCUGUGUAAUGGUCACUUUGCGGUCAUCAGGACUGCUGAGUGGACUCCGGCCCGUCAGCAGGCUGUGGACGUCAUCGCCAAAAUGCUGAAAGGUAGAAAUUGACGGCGAGUUGCUUCAUAACUCA